UACGUAGGGUGCAAGCGUUGUCCGGAAUUAUUGGGCGUAAAGAGCUUGUAGGCGGUUUGUCGCGUCUGCUGUGAAAUUUCGGGGCUCAACCCCGAACUUGCAGUGGGUACGGGCAGACUAGAGUGUGGUAGGGGAGACUGGAAUUCCUGGUGUAGCGGUGAAAUGCGCAGAUAUCAGGAGGAACACCGAUGGCGAAGGCAGCUCGCUGGGACGGUACUGACGCUGACAGCGCGAAAGCCAGGGGAGCAAACGGG
rnacentral:rRNA from 1 species